AUGCGUAUUAGGUUGAAUUGGCGUUCUUGUCGCAUAUAUAUAUAUAUAUAUAUAUAUAUAUAUAUAUAUAUAUAUAUAUAUAUAUAUAUAUAUAUAUAUAUAUAUAUAUAUAUACGACAAAAACGCCAAUUCAACCUAAUACGCAU